rnacentral:rRNA from 1 species
AGAGUUUGAUCCUGGCUCAGGACGAACGCUGGCGGUGUGCUUCACACAUGCAAGUCGAGCGAAUGAAGUAGGUAGCUUGCUACUUAUGGAUUUAGCGGCGGACGGGUGAGUAAUAUAUAGGAAUCUGCCUUAGAGCGGGCAACAACAGACCGAAAGGUUUGCUAAUGCCCCAUAGGUAUGCAGUCUUCGGAUUGUAUAUUAAAGGAGUAAUCCACUCUAAGAUGAGCCUGUAUCCGAUUAGCUAGUUGGCGGGGUAAAGGCCCACCAAGGCUACGAUCGGUAGUUGGUCUGAGAGGAUGAUCAGCCACAAUGGGACUGAGACACGGCCCAUACUCCUACGGGAGGCAGCAGUGGGGAAUUUUACACAAUGGGGGAAACCCUGAUGUAGCGACACCGCGUGAACGAAGAAGCCUUUUGGGGUGUAAAGUUCUGUCGGCUGGAACGAAAAAAAUGACGGUACCAGCAAAGGAAGCAUCGGCUAACUACGUGCCAGCAGCCGCGGUAAGACGUAGGAUGCAAGCGUUGUCCGGAUUUAUUGGGCGUAAAGAGUUCGUAGGCGGUUAUUUAAGUCUGAUGUUAAAUACUGUGGCCCAACCACAGAACUGCAUUGGAUACUGGAUGACUUGAGUGCGGUAGAGGCAAGUGGAAUUCCCAGUGUAGCGGUGAAAUGCGUAGA